AAAGUCCUCCGUGAACCUUCAUCCUGCUCUUGUAACCCGCGUAGUUCGCAAUCUCUGAUAAAUCAUAGCCCGGAAAGUUGUAGUGAUUCAGAGACCUCUGGUUACAAUCGAGCGGUAGUUCUAUAGGCAAUGUUUCCCCAAGCAGUCAGUGUCGGAAAGUGUCAUUGAUUGUGCAAGGAUAGCGCUUCUACGAUUCCUGUAGACCGUACACUCGGGCAGGAGCUUUGCCAAAGGGUCCCCAUGCCCCCUAAUAACCCCACAGUUUAAUGUGAAGCUCAAUGUAAUACAUUGGGUAAAAAAACCGAACAACUGUUAACAAUGGAUAUCUUGGUUCUC
rnacentral:misc_RNA from 1 species